UGGGGAAUAUUGCGCAAUGGGGGAAACCCUGACGCAGCAACGCCGCGUGAAGGAAGAAGGUCUUCGGAUUGUAAACUUUUGUCUUAUGGGAAGAACAAGGACGGUACCAUAGGAGGAAGCCACGGCUAACUACGUGCCAGCAGCCGCGGUAAUACGUAGGUGGCAAGCGUUGUCCGGAUUUACUGGGUGUAAAGGGCGUGUAGGCGGGUAGGUAAGUCAGAUGUGAAAUACCGGGGCUCAACCCCGGAGCUGCAUUUGAAACUGCUUAUCUUGAGUAUCGGAGAGGAAAGCGGAAUUCCCAGUGUAGCGGUGAAAUGCGUAGAUAUUGGGAGGAACACCAGUGGCGAAGGCGGCUUUCUGGACGACAACUGACGCUGAGGCGCGAAAGCGUGGGUAGCAAACAGGAUUAGAUACCCUGGUAGU
rnacentral:rRNA from 1 species